UUAUUUCAUUAAUCCAACAUAGACUCAUAUUCAUAGCACUUGACAUACUAUAGCACAUAUCGCUUUAAACACCUGUUAUCCCUUUGUGACUCAAGAGUCAGGAAUCGCUGACAUAACUUAUACAAAGUAUUACAUUACACUAACAUGCCUAUCAUAUACACCACCUAAAAUCAUACAUAUUCAACUAAUACUAAUACCACUUAUUUCUUACGCCAUCAUUAAGGAUCAAUUUCUUAGUAUCUUAUCUAUUCCCAUCAUCCUCAAUAAUUUAUUCACACUAAACUGUACCUAACUCGUCCAACUUAUAACACAUUAUGAGUUUAAGAACUCACCACAAACAUAUGAGUUUAAGAACUCGACAUUUACCACAUAUUCUUUAACUGUAUUUUACCUAUCUGCUAUACUUAUCGUUUCUGGAUCCUGUACUACACUUUUCCACAAUAUCCACCUCAUUGAGGUAGCUUUCAAUGUGAGCCACUAUUUUAGCUAUUGGCUGUGAUAUUGGCUCGGUCUUGGAGAUAUGUUUGACUUAUUCUUUACGACCUGAGGGUUUCCUAAUCCUUUCUAUCUGACAUCUACACACAAACUAUCUUUAUUAGCACUUAAUAUAUACACA
rnacentral:lncRNA from 1 species